AUCCUUUCAUAGUUCAUAAGCAAGAUGACUGGGUUUUUAUGGGCAUGCAUGAGACAGAUGCAAAUCUUGUUCCGAUGUUGGCACAGUACCCAUCUGACA
ensembl:snoRNA